AUGCACAUGAUGGUGGCAACAUUCAACAACUACCAAGAGUUGGUAGACAGGGCUCUCAUGAUUGAAGGCAAGCAUCAACAGAUUGAUAAUCGCAAGAGAAAGUAUGGACAGGGGAGGUACACUUCAGGAGCUCAGCACAAGCCUCGCUAUUCCCCGUACUCGAGAGGACAUAACCACAACCAUGGAGGCCAUAAUCAUGGAGGACAUACGCACAAUGGAGCAAGUUCGCACAACCACAGUGGCCCCAAGAAUGGCAAUGGGAAUGAAGGAAGCAGCAGUCAGAACCGUUCCAACCCUUCAACACCAGCCAAGAGGGAUCUAAGCCACAUUACCUGUUUCAAGUGCCAGAAGACCAGACAUUAUGCUAGUGAAUGUCCUGAAGCGAAGAAUGGAAAUGGCAAUGGACGUUCUGCCAAGAAGCCCAACCCCUUCACCAAAGCUCAGGUGAACCACGUCAGCGUGGAGGAGAUUGAUGAUCAACCCAAUGCAAUUGUCGGUAAGUUUUUGAUUAAUGCAUUUACUGCACUUGUUCUUUUUGAUACUGGUGCAUCGCAUUCAUACAUAUCAAGGGGAUUUGUGGAUAAGUAUAAUCUGCCAACUGUAGCCCUGAAGUCACCUAUGUUAGUAAGUUCCCCAGGAGCGGAGUAUAUGGCUAGUAGGGGAUGCUAUCAGUUGCCACUAACCAUAGGUAGACAUGUUUUCCCCGCCGACCUAAUUGUUCUGGAGUCACAAGGAUUGGAUGUGAUACUGGGAAUGAAUUAG
rnacentral:rRNA from 1 species